GCAAAAGAAGUGUCCUCAUGUAGAUAAAGUGAAAUUAACGGGUUUUAACUCAAGAAGCCAUCAAUAUUUCAUUGGAAUAUUGGCCAUCAAUUGAAAUUGAUUUUAAAAGUGUUUAUUUGUAUUUAUUGUACCUAAGCAAUGAGGUUUAAUUAAAAUGUCCCAAUCGAC
rnacentral:misc_RNA from 1 species